GACGAACGCUGGCGGCGCGCUUAACACAUGCAAGUCGAGCGAGAACCCAGGCUUCGGCCUGGGGGAAAGCGGCGAACGGGUGAGUAACACGUGGGUAAUCUGCCCUCGGCAUCGGGAUAGCCCGGGGAAACCCGGAUUAAUACCGGAUGGCCCGACAGCUCUUCGGAGCGGUCGGAAAAGGUAGCUUCGGCCUCCGGCCGAGGAGGAGCCCGCGGCGGAUUAGCUUGUUGGUGAGGUAAUGGCUCACCAAGGCUCCGAUCCGUAGCUGGUCUGAGAGGACGAUCAGCCACACUGGGACUGAGACACGGCCCAGACUCCUACGGGAGGCAGCAGUGGGGAAUCUUGCGCAAUGGGCGAAAGCCUGACGCAGCGACGCCGCGUGAGGGAAGAAGGCCUUCGGGUUGUAAACCUCUUUCAGGAGGGACGAAGCCACUCGGGUUAAUAGCCCAGAGGGUGACGGUACCUCCAGAAGAAGCCCCGGCUAACUACGUGCCAGCAGCCGCCGUAA
rnacentral:rRNA from 1 species